GAUAGCAGCACGCACUAGUAAAGGCGCCAACAGAAAGGUGCUACUGGACAUGCUGUGUAGUGUAGGGGUACAGCGGUGCGCCCCACCCUCCUCCCCCCUCAACUUCCAUCCUCCCCCCAAGAAGGUUGCUUCGUCACCAGGCAUAGGGUUCGAGGACAUCAUGCACGUUGCGGCGCGUGGGUGCCAUGAGUCGCGGCCGGGAGGAAGUGGACGGGUUCAAAACAGGAAGCAGGAAGUACGUUUCUGUGUAUUUUA